GACGAACGCUGGCGGCGUGCCUAAUACAUGCAAGUAGGACGCAGUUGCGAACGUGUGAGUAACGCGUAGGUAACUGCCUAUUAGAGUGGGAUAACUAUUGGAAACGAUACCUAAUACCGCAUACUAGUAGAUGGACCUGCGUUGUAUUAGCUAGUAGGUAGGGGAAUGGCCUACCUAGGCGACGGUACAUAGCCGACCUGGGAGGGUGGUCGGCAACACUGGGACUGGGACACGGCCCAGACUCCUACAGGAGGCCGCAGUUGGGAAUCUUCGGAAAUGGGGGGAACCCUGACCGAGCAACGCCGCGUGAUUGAAGAAGGUUGUCGGGUCGUAAAGCUCUGUUGUUAAGGAAGCGGUACUUAACGAGAAAGGGACGGCUAACUACGUGCCAGCAGCCGCGGUAAUUC
rnacentral:rRNA from 1 species